rnacentral:tRNA from 3 species
UGGAGUAUAGCCAAGUGGUAAGGCAUCGGCCUUUGAUGCCGGGAAACAAAGGUUCGAAUCCUUUUACUCCAG